rnacentral:lncRNA from 1 species
CGCUACUGAUAGUUACGACGGGGCUAGGUCAUAUCAAGUUUAUGAUGGAAGGCAUCGCGGCGAGUAUGACUAUGGUAAUCAAGAGGAGGGCCGUCGCAAGCCAGCUGUUCCGUUUCAGGUAAUCAAGCGACGCGCGGUACAAAGACGGUUCCUCGCGCACUUGCAGCACCAGACCGUCGUAACCGUCGGCAGUUUCGUCGAACGAUACCUGCCGCUUGGGUCUCUUGUCCACCAGCCUACGUCGGGGCGGGUCAGUUCAGCCGCGGCGGAGUUCGUUAAAAGAAAUGGGGAAACAACGGGACAGUGGGUGGGGAGAUGACGGGACGAGGACGCACCCUCUAUUCUCCCUGUCAAUGUCCGUGCGAACGAGCGCCGGCCUCAGCGCAGAGGACGGCUUCGACGUCGAAAGUAUUUGCGAGGUCAUUCCGCGAUGAAUCCCGCUCCGAUUCAACCCCUGGCGUCUUCGCGGGGCACGGGAAUGCCAGCUGGUGCCAAACGUCUCGGUAAAAGCGCUGAGCUGCUGAGCUUUCACUUGAGACGUCGGCCAAUUUUCGCGUCGGCUCUCUCUUUGUCACACGUCCCAUGAUCACAUGGUAUGGGAGAGUCGGUUUCUCGAGAAUUGGGGAAAAAAAGGGGCACGCGACGCACAAGUAAACAGUUAAAAAGGGGAAACCGUUUUGAAACAAGUUUCGGAUUCUCG